GACGAACGCUGGCGGCAUGCCUAACACAUGCAAGUCGAGCGAGCUAAUUUCUUCGGAAUGAAGCUAGCGGCGGACGGGUGAGUAACACGUGGGCAACCUGCCUCAUAGAGGGGAAUAGCCUUCCGAAAGGAAGAUUAAUACCGCAUAAGAUUGUAGUACCGCAUGGUAUAGCAAUUAAAGGAGUAAUCCGCUAUGAGAUGGGCUCGCGGCGCAUUAGCUAGUUGGUGAGGUAACGGCUCACCAAGGCGACGAUGCGUAGCCGACCUGAGAGGGUGAUCGGCCACAUUGGGACUGAGACACGGCCCAGACUCCUACGGGAGGCAGCAGUGGGGAAUAUUGCACAAUGGGGGGAACCCUGAUGCAGCAAUGCCGCGUGAGUGAUGACGGCCUUCGGGUUGUAAAGCUCUGUCUUCGGGGACGAUAAUGACGGUACCCGAGGAGGAAGCCACGGCUAACUACGUGCCAGCCGCCGCAGUAAUAC
rnacentral:rRNA from 1 species